AGUGAACGCUGGCGGUAGGCCUAACACAUGCAAGUCGAACGGCAGCACAGUAAGUGCUUGCUCUUACGGGUGGCGAGUGGCGGGCGGUUCCUGAGAACAUCGGAAUCUACUUUUUCGAGGGGGAUAACGCAGGGAAACUUACGCUAAUACCGCAUACGGCGUACGGGUGAGAGCAGGGGAUCUUCGGACCUUGCGCGAGUGAAUGAGCCGAUGUCGGAUUAGCUAGUUGGCGGGGUAAAGGCCCACCAAGGCGACGAUCCGUAGCUGGUCUGAGAGGAUGAUCAGCCACACUGGAACUGAGACACGGUCCAGACUCCUACGGGAGGCAGCAGUGGGGAAUAUUGGACAAAGGGCGCAAGCCUGAUCCAGCCAUGCCGCGUGUGUGAAGAAGGCCUUCGGGUUGUAAAGCCCUUUUGGUGGGGAAGAAAAGCAGCAGGUUAAUACCCCGCUGUUCUGACGGUACCCAAAGAAUAAGCACCGGCUAACUUCGUG
rnacentral:rRNA from 1 species